rnacentral:sRNA from 1 species
GCUGGGCAUGGCGGCACACACCUGUAAUCCAGCUACUUGGAAGGGAGGCUGAGGCAGGAGACUCACAUGGUCAAGGCCAACCUCGGCAGCUUAGUGAGAUCCUGUCUCAA